GGUUUGGUAGAGCCCUAAUGAAGAUGAAGACACCCACUGGAUCAUCUCCUUAUCCGCCCCGGACACCAUCUUGGCGAAGGCCUGCUCCAGAGGUUUCUCUGAACCCUUCUGGUUCACCUGGUUUAAAAUGGUCUGCUUCCCGUAGAUCAGGAACUGAGAGUCAAAGUGCCUCUUGAAGCCGUC